rnacentral:rRNA from 1 species
AGAGUUUGAUUAUGGCUCAGGAUGAACGCUAGCUACAGGCUUAACACAUGCAAGUCGAGGGCAGCGGGAAGUCAGCUGCUGACUUGCCGGCGACCGGCGCACGGGUGCGUAACACGUAUCCAAUCUACCCAUGGCUCAGGGAUAGCCUUUCGAAAGAAAGAUUAAUACCGGAUGGUCUUACGAAGAGACAUCUUUUUGUAAGUAAAGAUUUAUCGGCGAUGGAUGGGGAUGCGUCCGAUUAGCUUGUUGGCGGGGUAACGGCCCACCAAGGCGACGAUCGGUAGGGGUUCUGAGAGGAAGGUCCCCCACACUGGAACUGAGACACGGUCCAGACUCCUACGGGAGGCAGCAGUGAGGAAUAUUGGUCAAUGGGCGAAGGCCUGAACCAGCCCAAGUAGCGUGAGGGAGGACGGCCCUACGGGUUGUAAACCUCUUUUGUUCGGGAAUAAAGGCACCCACGCGUGGGUGUUUGUAUGUACCUUACGAAUAAGCAUCGGCUAAUUCCGUGCCAGCCGCCGC